UGGCGAACGGGUGAGUAACGCGUGGGUGAUCUGCCUUGCACUCUGGGAUAAGCUUGGGAAACUGGGUCUAAUACCGGAUAGGAACCGUCUUUAGUGUGGUGGUUGGAAAGUUUUUUCGGUGCAAGAUGAGCUCGCGGCCUAUCAGCUUGUUGGUGGGGUAAUGGCCUACCAAGGCGUCGACGGGUAGCCGGCCUGAGAGGGUGUACGGCCACAUUGGGACUGAGAUACGGCCCAG
rnacentral:rRNA from 1 species